rnacentral:lncRNA from 1 species
GUAUUCUGUUCCACAUUCUAUGUUUAUUUCUUGUUUUCAUUUUAUCCGGAACAAAUUGAACUGGACCGAUUUCUUAAAUCACCGUAUUUAUCGACCACUUUUAAUUUCUGUGACACCGUCCGCAUCAAUAUUUCAACACAUGGAAAAUGGACGACAUUUCUACUUUCUGAGGAAAUCGUGACAUACCACUGUCAAGUACGUUUGAUUCAUUCAUAAACUGUGAUAAUUAAUCUGUUUAACUCCGAUAUUUUUGGAUAAGUGAUUUAUAAAUACAUACGAACUGUAAGUUAUUUAUUUCCGAGAAAUGAACUGUAAAUUCUACUUUCGUUUUUGACUCGAUUAAUACUCUUGUAUUUAACUUUCAUAUUUAAUUCGUACACAUUGUAAAAUAUUGUAUUUUUAUUUCUUUCAGUUUACCAAUCUACUGACUAUUAUGUAACCCUUUCUGGUGGAAUUUAUAAUUACAAUUUCAAACAAGUUGUGUUCGUUAUAUCUUCAUCGAGAUUGCGAUUGCAGUCACCUGGUUAAGCUAGUUGAGUCCGGCUCAGCAUAGUAAAUUGACAACAACUUGUCUACACAUCUCCUGAUCAGGAAAUACAACGGAGCAUCGUUCGUAGCUGUUACAUCGACACUACGCAACACAGCUUGUGCGUCCUAGGCAGCAAACCAACAACGUUGAACAAACAUUGCCGAUUUACAUCAUGGAUCCCAGUCACGCGGAACAGCAAGAAGAGGUUCAGCCCCCAGAGGGAGAUGUCACUGAAGAACCUAUAGAGAAUCCGUCUAUAACCACACAUGUAGAUGAAAAUCCCGAGACGAGGCGAGUACGCGACCUCACAGAAAAAGGUAAAGGCGUUUACACAGAAAAACGUAACAAGUUCUGUGAGGAACUAGAGGCCCUUUGGUCAGAUAUAACAACCCAGUUAUUGGAAAUCACCACACCUCCCAAUGAACUUCAGCAAGUCUUAACAACUCAGGACAAUCUUGUAAAAGCCUGUACAAAUUAUCGUAGGCUCACAGACGAGUAUCUGGACUUCCUUAAAAGGACCAGAACGUUGGACAGUCAAAAAGACAUUGACGCAUGUAACCUCACAUUGGAUCUUCGUCUGUCCAAAGUGGAACUGGCCAUGGAAUCUCUACACGAGCAUCGCCUUGCCCUCACUAAGGCUAAAUCAACUAAAACAAGGACCUCAGGCUCAAAGGGUAAGAAAACCUCACACAGCGGUAGCUCUAACGUAUCGGAUAUGUCAAGCCUAGCACGGAGGAAGCGUGCCAAAGCAGAGGCCGCUAAAUCAAAAAUAGCCUUUGUUGAACAACAUUCACUUAUCCUACAACAAGAGGCAAUGUUAGAGGAACAAGCCCUGUUCAGACAAUCUGAAAUGGAACAGGAAGCAGCGCGCAAAAAGGCUGAAAUGGAACAGGAAGCCACACUUAAAAAGGCUGAAAUGGAACGGGAAGCCACACUUAAAAAGGCUGAAAUGGAACAGGAAGCCACACUUAAAAAGGCUGAAAUGGAACGGGAAGCCACACUUAAAAAGGCUAAUAUGGAACAUGAGGCAGAACAAGAGGCCAUACGCAGAAAAGCGCAAAUCAAACAAGAGGCUGCACGUGUUAGCCGAGAAAAAGCCGAGCUGAAGGCCAAGUUAAACCUUCUAGAAGCACG